AUUGAACGCUGGCGGAAUGCUUUACACAUGCAAGUCGAACGGCAGCACGGGGCAACCUGGUGGCGAGUGGCGAACGGGUGAGUAAUACAUCGGAACGUGCCCAAUCGUGGGGGAUAACGUAGCGAAAGUUACGCUAAUACCGCAUACGAUCUACGGAUGAAAGCGGGGGAUCGCAAGACCUCGCGCGAAUGGAGCGGCCGAUGUCAGAUUAGGUAGUUGGUGGGGUAAAGGCUCACCAAGCCAACGAUCUGUAGCUGGUCUGAGAGGACGACCAGCCACACUGGAACUGAGACACGGUCCAGACUCCUACGGGAGGCAGCAGUGGGGAAUUUUGGACAAUGGGCGCAAGCCUGAUCCAGCCAUUCCGCGUGCAGGAUGAAAGGCCCUU
rnacentral:rRNA from 1 species